rnacentral:lncRNA from 1 species
GUCCUCUCGCCCGUGGAUUCGGGGGCCGAGCGCAAAAGCCCCGCGCCCCGAGUGGCCGCCGUAUGCCUGGGACACAGGUCUCGGCAGUCGUUUGUGAGGCGCGCCCCUCGCCGAGCGGAACAGCCCGAGGGUCUAUGGGGACGGGGCGGGUGCGGGGGGGCGGGGAAGCGUCUGCCAGGAGCUCUAGGGCGCUUGAGAGGGGACCAGCCCCGUCCCGCCCAGCACGUGCCCAUCCAGGUCUGGCUACCCGCUGCGGUUCAGGAGCCCGAAGGCGGGGCGGGGCGGGGAGGGUCGUCUCAAGUAAGGGCCUCUGGCCUGGAUCCAGUUUGAGAGCGACAAGGCAAUAAGGCCCGGGAGGGGAGAGGUCGGGAGGGGGUUCCUCAAUCCCUCUUACUUUUCCCUACCACACACCUCACCCCCAGGCCACUCCGACCUUAGACACGGGGCCCAGACCGCAGAGGACCCGGAGAAUCCGUCAGUGCUUUCCUGUCCCAGCGACUCCUAACAGGGUGGGGAGGGGUCUCUCCGCCUUUUCUCUUCACAUCGCAUUCCCCCCUACCCCCCCCCCACCCCCCGCAAUAACCUAGGUGGGUCCAACUGGGAGGGGGAAGAGUCCUCUGUCUCCAUCUUCAUCCUGUUCCCGCCCCCCACCCCCGCCACUUUCACAAAAACCCUAGCCUUCGGGGGAGGGGUGGGUGCGAGGGUCUUUCUGACAUCCCCAAACAGCCCUUCCUCAGGAGGGUCUGAGCAGAGGAGGUGGAGCACCGCAGUUUCAUCCAUCACAUCGAGACCCUCUUUGUAACGUCAGGCAGCCGAGGUGUUGUGGGGAAGGGUCCUCCUGCCUCCGAAUCUUUCGUCCCGGAACACUCCCUUCCAUCCUCAAUAAUCCAAGCAGCCUCGACUUCAGGCACAGGCUGAGAGAGACUCCGGUCUCUCAAUGCACCGUCUCAGGAGAGACGGUGGGGCAGGUCCCGUCCCCUCCUCGCCCCUCACGCUCAAGAGCCUCCUUCACCAUAAGACAAAAACUAACCAAAGCUGCUCCGAUCCCAGGCACAGGGCCACAGGGAGACUCACGAGGAGCCGGUCAGCAGCUCUCCGGGACAGAUGGUCUUGGGGGCGGCGCGGACUGGUCCCAUCAACUCCCAGGUCCCCUCACGCCUCGGUUCAUUCCUUUCCCCAAAAAACAAAAGCGAAUCCAGCAGCACCGACCUCAGAGAGGCGGGAGGGCUAUCGCCGCCCGGCAGCGCACCCAGCUCCUCUGGGCUCCUCACGGCUUCAGCUGUUCCAGGCGAUGGCUCUCGCGGCGGCAGCGGCGGCGACGGCUGCGACCGCGGCUCUCCGGUCCAGAGCCUCCCUCGGACUCAGCACCUGGAGCUGCGAACAGCUCCGCGCCUCAUUCCGCUGUCCCCGCCUCCUCCGUGCCGCCGUAGCCAAUGGCGGCCUGGGCUCCGCCCAGGAGGCCGCCCAUUGGGGGUGCCAUCCCCACUCCCUUUGGCCCCGCCCGUGGGGUUCCUCUGUCUCUCCUACAAGACCGCAUCCCCGAGAGACCACCGGAGUUUUCGCACAGCCUUCUGGAACUUGUAGUCCUUUAAGGACGCAGAGUGGGCUCGUGCAUCGGGCAGGUAUUGAUCUGGCAUGUGGUCCCUGUAGCUCCCCUGUGGCCCCAUUUCUGCCUCUGAAGCAGCAGAGCCCACGCACCAGUUGUUACAGAACCUCCCUACCUUGGCUGCCCAUCUCUGCAAAUAUGUGGUCAGACUGGAAUGGUCAACCCCAGGUAAGUCAGGCAGGCCCAGAGGCCAAGACGCUGUUGCACUCACAAGUCUGCAGUGGCCAUGUCAGCAGCCUCUUUAGCCGGUUCAUAUGA